rnacentral:rRNA from 1 species
GAUGAACGCUGGCGGCGUGCCUAAUACAUGCAAGUCGAGCGAACAGAUGAGGAGCUUGCUCCUCUGACGUUAGCGGCGGACGGGUGAGUAACACGUGGAUAACCUACCUAUAAGACUGGGAUAACUUCGGGAAACCGGAGCUAAUACCGGAUAAUAUAUUGAACCGCAUGGUUCAAUAGUGAAAGACGGUUUUGCUGUCACUUAUAGAUGGAUCCGCGCCGCAUUAGCUAGUUGGUAAGGUAACGGCUUACCAAGGCGACGAUGCGUAGCCGACCUGAGAGGGUGAUCGGCCACACUGGAACUGAGACACGGUCCAGACUCCUACGGGAGGCAGCAAUAGGGAAUCUUCCGCAAUGGGCGAAAGCCUGACGGAGCAACGCCGCGUGAGUGAUGAAGGUCUUCGGAUCGUAAAACUCUGUUAUUAGGGAAGAACAAAUGUGUAAGUAACUAUGCACGUCUUGACGGUACCUAAUCAGAAAGCCACGGCUAACUACGUG